rnacentral:lncRNA from 1 species
UACCGGUGAAAUCGGUGAUCUACGCUCUGUCCCCUUUCCAGCAGAAGAUAAUGCCGGGUCUCUGGAAGGACUUGCCCACCAAGAUUCAUCACAAGGUCUCUGAGAAUUGGAUCAGCGCCACCCUCUUGCUCGGUCCCCUCGUCGGCACCUACGCGUAAGUCUCUCUCCCUCUCUUUCUCUCUCUGUGUGUUAGGGUUUCCCCCUUUUGUCUCAUGAUUAUGUAUUAUAUGUUUAUCGUUGUGAAUUCAAUCGAGUGAUGAUGAACAGUUAAGCGUUUUGUUGUUGGUUUUGGACCGGAAUUACUCGGUCCCCUCGUCGGCACCUGCACGUAACUUUCUCUUUCUAUCUCUCUUUGUUAGGGUUUCCUCUUUAUAUGUUUUACGCGAUGAUUAUGUAUUAUUUGUUUAUCGUUGUGAGUUCAGUCGAAUGACGAUGAGCAGUUAAACAUUUUGUUGUUGGUUUUGGAUCUGAAUUGGUCUCGAACCUUGCUGGAAGAAGGCGCUGUGUUCUGAUUUGUCAGGGAACAGGAAACGAAUCUGUUUCAAUAAAUCC